UUUUAGCCCAGAUAGCAGUGGAAAUCCUGUCAUUGCGAGGAACGAAGCAAUCACAGAUUGUAACGGAUAGCUGGAAAUAGC
rnacentral:sRNA from 1 species